GACGAACGCUGGCGGCGUGCCUAAUACAUGCAAGUUGAGCGCUGAAGGUUGGUACUUGUACCAACUGGAUGAGCAGCGAACGGGUGAGUAACGCGUGGGGAAUCUGCCUUUGAGCGGGGGACAACAUUUGGAAACGAAUGCUAAUACCGCAUAAAAACUUUAAACACAAGUUUUAAGUUUGAAAGAUGCAAUUGCAUCACUCAAAGAUGAUCCCGCGUUGUAUUAGCUAGUUGGUGAGGUAAAGGCUCACCAAGGCGAUGAUACAUAGCCGACCUGAGAGGGUGGUCGGCCACAUUGGGACUGAGACACGGCCCAAACUCCUACGGGAGGCAGCAGUAGGGAAUCUUCGGCAAUGGACGAAAGUCUGACCGAGCAACGCCGCGUGAGUGAAGAAUGUUUUCGGAUCGUAAAACUCUGUUGGUAGAGAAGAACGUUGGUGAGAGUGGAAAGCUCAUCAAGUGACGGUAACUACCCAGAAAGGGACGGCUAACUACGUG
rnacentral:rRNA from 1 species